rnacentral:tRNA from 1 species
GGGGAUAUAGCUCAGCCGCAGAACACGUGUUUAGUGUGCACGAGGGCCUCGGUUCAAUCCCCAGUACCUCCA